rnacentral:lncRNA from 1 species
GUUUUUCUGUCUAUCAGAUUAAACAGAUUCAAUUUAUUUCUUUAUUAAUGACAAUGUCUCAUAAUAAAUAUAAUAUAUAAUAAAAUUUAAAAUAUUCUUGUAAUAUUGCUACAACUGUGCUAUCCUCUAGAAAACAUGAACUUACAUAAAUAACAAGAAUUGAAGUACAGGAUGAUGCACAAAAUGAUCCAAUAUUUGAUUUCUUAAUAAAAUCUUUAUUUCAAUUAUAAUACCAGAAAUCAAAAUCAAAAUGCAUGAAAAUUUAUUAUGUGUGAAUUGUGUAUUCAAUAUGACCACCAUUACAUCUAGAAACUUCUUUGAUAUGAACUAAGAUGAUGUGAUAACUUGAUGGCCCAUAUCAUCAUUGAUCUUGUUACAGACAUGAAUGAUAAGUGCUCACAGUUCAAUUAUCAUUUGUUUGUGGUUAUUUUUGGAAAAUUUAAAAAAAAAAAAAACCAUAAACAAAUUCGUGACUACAGUAGUCACAAGUUUAAAUCAGGACUGUUCAAGGAUCAGUUUAGUCACAUGAGAAUUGAUCAGGAAAAUAAUUUUAGAUUAUACCUGCAUGAGCCAUUGAGAAGAUUGUAAAGAGAAGCAUGUUCUAUGGAGGAUGCACAGUUGCUGGCUUGCCCACUUCCUCUGCAACAAAACCAUCAUUAUUUAACUGCUUGUAAAGUUUAUGUAUUGUUUUGAAUGAAGGUGCCCAUUGCAUUUAAAAUGGGUAUGAAACUGCCUCUGUGUGUCUAUAACACUUUGUUUUCACAAAGGACAAAAUUGUUUUUGUACAUUGUUCUACAGUUAGUUUUCCUUUGUUAGAAUUUUGCAAACUGUUGCAUGUGCAGGAACAGCAUGACACUAGUGUGCUCUUGAAAAGUGAUAAUUAAUCUCCAUGAAAUGCUGUAUUUACUGCCAUGAUAAAAAAUAUUCAUUGCAUGAUUGAAAAUUUAUUACUAAAACAAAUGCUGAAUCAUUUCAUCUGCCACCUAUAUAAAAGUGGUGCUGAUUUGCUUUAUUAUAGAAAAAAUAAUAAAUAUAAUAUGAAAAUCUGUUUCCAGAUGGAAGCACUUAUAUAAAUACAUAGAACAAGUCUCAUGUUAUGCAUCAAGAGUUAAGCAUAUGAGAAGUAUGAGAAUAAUUUUACA